UUGUGAAAGUGACCAUGGAAAUUCCUUCUUCGAUUUGGUCCUAAUGUUAUUAUAAAUACGUGAAUAGUUUUCAGCUUCCAUCAAUUGUCGUGUAUCCAGCACAUCACUAAAAAAACUGUCAAAGAUGAAAUUCGUCAACAUUUUCUUCAUCGUCGUCUUCGCCCUUGUGGCCCUUCAGCAGACGGUCUCGGCCAAAUGCAUCGCCAAUGGUAAUGGUUGCCAACCUAGUGGAAGUCAAGGAAACUGUUGUUCUGGAUACUGCCACAAGCAACCUGGAUGGGUCGCUGGUUACUGCAGGAGGAGAUAAGAAGGUCUUUUUGGAUGUUACGGAAAAUUAUGACGCUUCAAUCUUAUAAAAACAUAUGUUAAUAUUAUGUCGAAAAUACUGGGAUAAUAAAGAGCAUAGAAAAUUA